UACGUAGGGUGCAAGCGUUAAUCGGAAUUACUGGGCGUAAAGCGCGUGUAGGUGGCUUGUUGCGUCUGCUGUGAAAGCUUCCGGCUUAACCGGGACUAUGCGGUAGAUACGGGCAAGCUCGAGGGUGACAGAGGAGCGUAGAAUUCCAGGUGUAGCGGUGAAAUGACGUAGAUAUCUGGAGGAACACCGGUGGCGAAGGCGGG
rnacentral:rRNA from 1 species